UCCAGGGUAGCCGAGUGGACAAGACACCUGCCCGGUAAGCAGAAGGGUGUGGGUUCGAUUCCCGCCCCUGGAC
rnacentral:tRNA from 1 species